GAUAUCCAUGUGUAGAGUCUUCUCUUGUGUUGUUGCAAGAGGGUGUUUGCUAUGACCAGUGCGUUCUCUUGUCAUAACUCUGUUAGCCUUUGAUGUGCAUCAUUUUGUGUUCCAGGGCCAAAUUUGCCUGUUAGUCCAGGAAGUCAAGAAACACCUGGAGUAACAGGCAAAUUUUGCCUUGGAAUACAGAAUGAAGCAGGGCAAAGGCUAAUAGAGUUUUGCCAAGAAAAUGCACUGGUCAUAGCAAACACCCUCUUCCAACAACACAGGAGAAGACUCUACACAUGGACAUCACCGGAUGGUCAACACUGAAAUCAGAUUGAUUAUAUUCUUUGCAGCCAAAGAUGGAGAAGCUCUAUACAGUCAGCAAAAACAAGACCAGGAGCUGACUGUGGCUCAGAUCAUGAACUCCUUAUUGCCAAAUUCAGACUUAAAUUGAAGAAAGGAGGGAAAACCACUAGACCAUUCAGGUAUGACCUAAAUCAAAUCCCUUAUGAUUAUACAGUGGAAGUGAGAAAUAGACUUAAGGUCCUAGAUCUGAUACAUAGAGUGCCUGAUGAACUAUGGGUGGAGGUUUGUGACAUUGUACAGGAAACAGGGAUCAAGACUAUCCCCAUGGAAAAGCAAUGGAAAAAAGCAAAAUGGCUGUCUGAGGAGGCCUUACAAAUAGCUGUGAAAAGAAGAGAAGUGAAAAGCAAAGGAGAAAAGGAAAGAUAUAAGCAUCUGAAUGCAGAGUUCCAAAGAAUAGCAAGAAGAGAUAAGAAAGCCUUCCUCAGCGAUCAAUGCAAAGAAUUAGAGGAAAACAACAGAAUGGGAAAGACUAGAGAUCUCUUCAAGAAUAUUAGAGAUACCAAGGGAACAUUUCAUGCAAAGAUGAGCUCAAUAAAGGACAGAAAUGGUAUGGACCUAACAGAAGCAGAAGAUAUUAAGAAGAGGUGGUAGGAAUACACAGAAGAACUGUAAAAAAAAGAUCUUCACGACCAAGAUAAUCAUGAUGGUAUGAUCACUCACCUAGAGCCAGACAUCCUGGAAUGUGAAGUCAUGUGGGCCUUAGCAUCACUAUGAACAAAGCUAGCGGAGGUGAUGGAAUUCCAGUGGAGCUCUUUCAAAUCCUGAAAGAUGAUGCUGUGAAAGUGUUACACUCAAUAUGCCAGCAAGUUUGGAAAACUCAGCAGUGGCCACAGGACUGGAAAAGCUCAGUUUUCAUUCCAAACCCAAAGAAAGGCAAUGCCAAAGAAUGCUCAAACUACCACACAAUUGCACUUAUCUCACAUACUAGUAAAGUAAUGCUCAAAAUUCUCCAAGCCAGGCUUCAGCAGCACGUGAACCGUGAACUUCAGGAUAUUCAAGCUGCUUUUAGAAAAGGCAGAGGAACCAG
ensembl:lncRNA